rnacentral:rRNA from 1 species
UACGUAGGGGGCAAGCGUUGUCCGGAUUUAUUGGGCGUAAAGAGCGUGUAGGCGGCCAGGUAGGUCGGUUGUGAAAACUGGAGGCUUAACCUCCAGACGUCGACCGAAACCAUCUGGCUAGAGUCCGGAAGAGGAGAGUGGAAUUCCUGGUGUAGCGGUGAAAUGCGCAGAUAUCAGGAAGAACACCGGUGGCGAAGGCGGGUCUCUGGGCCGAUACUGACGCUGAGGAGCGAAAGCGUGGGGAGCGAACAGG